rnacentral:rRNA from 1 species
GACAGAGGUGCCAAGCGUUAGGCGGAAUCACUGGGCUUAAAGCGUGUGUAGGCGGAUCGUUAAGUACCUUGUGAAAUCCCACGGCUCAACCGUGGAACUGCUGGGUAUACUGGCGGUCUUGAGCCACCUAGGGGCAACUGGAACAAGCGGUGGAGCGGUGAAAUGCGUAGAUAUCGCUUGGAACGCCAACGGUGAAAACAGGUUGCUGGGGGUGUGACUGACGCUGAGACACGAAAGCCAGGGGAGCGAACGGG